UGUUGGUUGUCAGGGCCGAUAAGGGGAGACUGGAGAAGUUUGGGGACCAAGGGGUCUGUGGCAGAGGGGAAGUGGGAGGUUGUGGGUGUGUGGCAGAGAUUGGUCUAAUGGGGUUACGUUGGGAAAAUGGAGCUACAUGGGGGCUCCGAGGGCAGUGAGGUAUGUGACAAGGAGGGAUGACUAAAUCUUGGGGUGACAGCGUCUCUGGCAGACAUGUAGCUGGAGAGGUUGGGGGGGUGAUUAUGAAGGAGAAUGGGAUGGAAGUUUGGGGUCAUGGGGAGGGGAAGAAAUUGAAAAGAUGGAGACAUUGAUAUAUAGGAAUAUGGGUUUUCUGGAUGAGAGUAAUUUGGAGGUGAUUCGUAUUAGGAAUAUGAUAAAUGUAAGAAUUUAGGGGUGAUGAUGGAAAGCUGGAGAGAGUCGAGUUCAGAGACGUCAGCAUGGAGAGAAGUGGAAAGGUGAAGAACCUUAGGAAGGUUUGAAAGAGGUGGGGCCGGAUGCAUAUUCUAGAGGGACUAGGGUACUGGGUGGCCAAGGAGGGGGUAAGACACAGGGAUGGCUGGAUUCUGGGGGUGGGAGGUUUCCAAGAGAGCUGAGGAGCGUUUUGGUUGGCAAGACAAAGGUGGAUAGAAUGGGGGGGGGGGAUGGGUAAAGAAGAUUAGAAGGAAAUGUAAGAUAAACAAGGCCUUUGGUGGCAGUAUGGAGGAGAGAAGGCCAGAGAUGAGGAAGACGAGUGGAGAUGGAAAGGGAAAGCAGUAGAAGGAAAUGAUAGAAAUGGGGGAAGCAAGCCCCAGUGUAGGUAAGGGAUUAAUUUAUGGGAAUGGGACACCAUCUGCUUCAGGCCCUUCUGUCUGGUGGUGUCUCCAUUUUCCUCCCCAAACCUGUCUGAAGUCAUCACAGACAGUACUCUUGGCCACAGGGAAGGGGUCAGGUGGGGAUUAGGCUCACCGUGGAGCAAAAUCCCUAGGGGCCCUGGUUCCCCAAUCCCAAUCAUUCUACUAUGGAGACAAUCCCCACCCCACCCGCAGACCACAGGGUCUUCCUUCAACCCUCCCAGCUCUCCAGGCAGCCAUUUCCAGUCUCCAGCCUAAAGCCAACACUUCCGCCCGUCCACCACCAAUGUCUUCUAGGCUGUCUCCCUGGCCCCAUACCAAGCAGCAACAUCUCCCAGGACAAAGGACACCAAGACACUGGCUCUGCUAUCCAGUUUCACCAACUUCUGGGUGCUCCCGUCUUCUCUCCCCUCAUACGGACGAAAGACUCUUCAGACACAACAAUGCACUGUGAUUCAGACUUUAAUGGUGGUGCUCAUUUCAACGCCACAGAGGUGGUGGCAACUGUGGAGUGUGGCACAGGGGAGUGAGACAUUGCUCGGGUGCAGCUGGAGGAAGAACAGGGAAGCCGGGGCUGGGGGAGAGCUAUGGGGGAAGAGUCCCCGGGCACACAGCCCCACCUCUGGACUGAGCCGGCUUAGGUUAAGGGCUGGGAGACACGAAGGAACUGAUGACAGGUCCCUUUUCUGUUACCCUUCCCGCUCCAUUUUCAGCAAGACCUCCCACCCCAGGCCAUCUCGGAAUCUACGGCCACAUGAAGUACCCACGCACACACACGCGAUCUCCUCUGGUCAGGCCAGGGUUUGGCCCUGGAGUUGUGGAGAAACGCUGAAUUAAUGAACAAGACGAGUGAACAAUAAAUAAACAAAUAAAUAAUUCACUGAAGUCUUCGGCCAGGCAUGAUCACGCGGCCAGCGCUCCCCUCCCCCUCGGCACUGCACACUCCCUGGCUCAGAUGCCACAUGGACAAACGUGUGGAAGUGGCAGAAAGCACAGUGACACACGGCCCCUCUCUCAACACGUCCCCAGCCAGCCCUGAUGCACCUCUACACAGACCCUGACUGUUCUUCCAUGGGGACUCCCUUAUAAUCCUCAGUCCCGUGGCCAGUUUUUGAGGAGAGAGAAUAGAAAGGAAAGAGAAGUGGAGAGUGUGGAGCCCAGAGUGGGGAGAGCACAGAGCAGGGGCUGGACAAGCCAAGGAACAGAGCAACAGGUCAGCCGGGGUGUCCGGGGUGAAAUAUCACAGAGCAAGACAGGAAGAGAGAGGAUCCAGGAGGAUGGGAGAGGGGUUCCAGGUCUCCAGGCAAGUAGAGGGAUCACAGCACGCUGGGAUUGCGGAAAUUAUGUCCAGCAAAGCGAGCUUCG